rnacentral:misc_RNA from 1 species
GCAUCUUGGGGGUUGUUCCGCUUGGUUUGUUUUCGGUGGUUGGCUCUCUCUUAAUUGCAACAACUUCCAUCUGGCAUUCCUCUUCAGCUACGUAUCAGGGUUGUAUUGCCUUGAUUGUAUUGUAGGUUUCUGUAUUGUCUACCUAAGUUGAUGGUAUCGUUUGGACCCAUCAAACUCUCCUUUCGUCUUGCAUCACAAUUAUGGUGUGGGAUGGACCUUGAAGCGGUCUUUGUGUUCCACCUUGUUGGCAUGGACGUGUCGAUGAUGUGGGUCAUUGAGCCUUGCUUGGUAUUAUGGAUACAGAACAUGAUGUCGGCACGGGGUCUCUCAUGAUCCUUGUUUUGCCUUUAUAGAGCGUUAUCGUUCUUCUAAGAUGAUCAUCCAGCCCGAAUUGGCUCGUACCACCGGGUGGAUAUGUUGUUGAGGAAGGAUGCUAGCGUUCUUGCUUCUCCAAAAAGACCGCCCAUCCCGUAUUGGCUUGUACAAGCGGGUUGGGUACGUCCGAAAGGGAUGCUACCUGGUUGAUCCUGCCAGUAGUCAUAUGCUUGUCUCAA